GCGAGUUACGAUUUGAUGCAAGGUUAAGCAGUAAAUGUGGAGCCGUAGCGAAAGCGAGUCUGAAUAGGGCGUUUAGUAUUUGGUCGUAGACCCGAAACCAGGUGAUCUACCCUUGGUCAGGUUGAAGUUCAGGUAACACUGAAUGGAGGACCGAACCGACUUACGUUGAAAAGUGAGCGGAUGAACUGAGGGUAGCGGAGAAAUUCCAAUCGAACCUGGAGAUAGCUGGUUCUCUCCGAAAUAGCUUUAGGGCUAGCCUCAAGUGAUGAUUAUUGGAGGUAGAGCACUGUUUGGACGAGGGGCCCCUCUCGGGUUACCGAAUUCAGACAAACUCCGAAUGCCAAUUAAUUUAACUUGGGAGUCAGAACAUGGGUGAUAAGGUCCGUGUUCGAAAGGGAAACAGCCCAGACCACCAGCUAAGGUCCCAAAAUAUAUGUUAAGUGGAAAAGGAUGUGGCGUUGCCCAGACAACUAGGAUGUUGGCUUAGAAGCAGCCAUCAUUUAAAGAGUGCGUAAUAGCUCACUAGUCGAGUGACACUGCGCCGAAAAUGUACCGGGGCUAAACAUAUUACCGAAGCUGUGGAUUGUCCUUUGGACAAUGGUAGGAGAGCGUUCUAAGGGCGUUGAAGCAUGAUCGUAAGGACAUGUGGAGCGCUUAGAAGUGAGAAUGCCGGUGUGAGUAGCGAAAGACGGGUGAGAAUCCCGUCCACCGAUUGACUAAGGUUUCCAGAGGAAGGCUCGUCCGCUCUGGGUUAGUCGGGUCCUAAGCUGAGGCCGACAGGCGUAGGCGAUGGAUAACAGGUUGAUAUUCCUGUACCACCUAUAAUCGUUUUAAUCGAUGGGGGGACGCAGUAGGAUAGGCGAAGCGUGCGAUUGGAUUGCACGUCUAAGCAGUAAGGCUGAGUAUUAGGCAAAUCCGGUACUCAUUAAGGCUGAGCUGUGAUGGGGAGAAGACAUUGUGUCUUCGAGUCGUUGAUUUCACACUGCCGAGAAAAGCCUCUAGAUAGAAAAUAGGUGCCCGUACCGCAAACCGACACAGGUAGUCAAGAUGAGAAUUCUAAGGUGAGCGAGCGAACUCUCGUUAAGGAACUCGGCAAAAUGACCCCGUAACUUCGGGAGAAGGGGUGCUCUUUAGGGUUAACGCCCAGAAGAGCCGCAGUGAAUAGGCCCAAGCGACUGUUUAUCAAAAACACAGGUCUCUGCUAAACCGUAAGGUGAUGUAUAGGGGCUGACGCCUGCCCGGUGCUGGAAGGUUAAGAGGAGUGGUUAGCUUCUGCGAAGCUACGAAUCGAAGCCCCAGUAAACGGCGGCCGUAACUAUAACGGUCCUAAGGUAGCGAAAUUCCUUGUCGGGUAAGUUCCGACCCGCACGAAAGGCGUAACGAUUUGGGCACUGUCUCAACGAGAGACUCGGUGAAAUCAUAGUACCUGUGAAGAUGCAGGUUACCCGCGACAGGACGGAAAGACCCCGUGGAGCUUUACUGUAGCCUGAUAUUGAAAUUCGGCACAGCUUGUACAGGAUAGGUAGGAGCCUUUGAAACGUGAGCGCUAGCUUACGUGGAGGCGCUGGUGGGAUACUACCCUAGCUGUGUUGGCUUUCUAACCCGCACCACUUAUCGUGGUGGGAGACAGUGUCAGGCGGGCAGUUUGACUGGGGCGGUCGCCUCCUAAAAGGUAACGGAGGCGCUCAAAGGUUCCCUCAGAAUGGUUGGAAAUCAUUCAUAGAGUGUAAAGGCAUAAGGGAGCUUGACUGCGAGACCUACAAGUCGAGCAGGGUCGAAAGACGGACUUAGUGAUCCGGUGGUUCCGCAUGGAAGGGCCAUCGCUCAACGGAUAAAAGCUACCCCGGGGAUAACAGGCUUAUCUCCCCCAAGAGUUCACAUCGACGGGGAGGUUUGGCACCUCGAUGUCGGCUCAUCGCAUCCUGGGGCUGUAGUCGGUCCCAAGGGUUGGGCUGUUCGCCCAUUAAAGCGGUACGCGAGCUGGGUUCAGAACGUCGUGAGACAGUUCGGUCCCUAUCCGUCGUGGGCGUAGGAAAUUUGAGAGGAGCUGUCCUUAGUACGAGAGGACCGGGAUGGACAUACCUCUGGUGUACCAGUUGUCGUGCCAACGGCAUAGCUGGGUAGCUAUGUGUGGACGGGAUAAGUGCUGAAAGCAUCUAAGCAUGAAGCCCCCCUCAAGAUGAGAUUUCCCAACUUCGGUUAUAAGAUCCCUCAAAGAUGAUGAGGUUAAUAGGUUCGAGGUGGAAGCAUGGUGACAUGUGGAGCUGACGAAUACUAA
rnacentral:rRNA from 1 species